ensembl:lncRNA
AUGCCCCCGCGGCGCGGCGGCCGGGAGCGCCGGGCCGGGGCGGCCGCGCUGGGAGGAGGCACGCCCCCCGCCGUCGGCCGGGCAGUCGGCCGGGACUCGCGGCCACCCCGGGUCCGCGCCCUGCCGCGCGCCGCCGUUGCGGGCGGAGAGCUCGGUUCCGGCCGGGCGGCGCCCUCGGCCGGGCCAGGCCGCUCCCUGCACUCUGCCCUCUGGCCCCGGCGCGCGGCCGGCUCCCGGCCUUCCGCGGUCCUGCGCUCGGACUCGCGGGCUUCGGCGCCGGCCCGCCCGGCUCUCCCGCUCCGCGAUCCUCGCCUCGGCUCGGUCCCCAGUCACGGCUUCGGAGGCUGGUCGCGGCGCCCCAGGCUCAGACCCGGGCUCACCGCUCGCGGGCCGGGCUUCCAAGACCCGCACUUAACACAGUUCAGUUCCAAGCCGGGACUGGGAGCGGGGCGCUCGCUGCCGGUUGCUUGCUGCUGCGAGCCGACUCCACAGCCUCAGAGGAGAAAGAGGGAGGGAGACCGAGAGCGGGCUGGGGUUGGAGGAGGAGGAAGGGUGGGGAGAUGGAGGAGGAGGGAGGGACAGAGAGUUCCCUCCUCCUCCCUGCGGCCAGGUCCCUCCAGGCAGCAACAGCUGGAAACCUCUGCUGCCCAGGGAAGAGCGAGGGUUCCUGGGCGGCGCACGCGGGUGGAGGUGGGUGAAGGGAUGGAGAGAAUGGAAGAAAGAGGUGGAUUCCUCUCAUUCUCACUGCCCAGGUAUGAGGUCAUUCCAGGGGAUCUUCGCUCCUUAGAGCAAGACCCAAGAAGUUGUCGAUCCAACUCCCAGCCUUCCAACCCCUCCAGACAGAUAAUCUGGACUUCAAAACCCUGUUUCAGAACCUCCCUUAGGAAUAUGAUCCCACCUGCAGCUGGACGGCUUCCUAAUGUGGCAGACCACUCCCCAGCCCUGUCAUUUUGCACUCUCUCAAGUCCUUUUAUUUUUUCCCUGACCUGUUUGAUAUUGUGGGGGAGGGGAGGAUGGAUUAAUUUGAAUCAG